CAGCAGUGAGGAAUAUUGGUCAAUAGCCUAACGGCUGAACCAGCAACUUGGAGGAAUGUAUAGCUAAAGCUAAAUGUAUUUUGUAUAAUACAGAUUCGAUUUAUUCGUAUAAAGUUCUAGAUAGAAUUAUGAUAAUGACAUUGUCUAUCUAUAAGUCUUGACCAAAUUACGUGCCAGCAGUCGCGGUAAGACGUAAAAGACUAGUGUUAUUCAUCUUUAAUAGGUUUAAAGCGUACCUAGACGGUAAAUCAAGCCUUAACCGGGACUAAUUUAACUAGAGUUAGAUGUAAGGGUGCAUAAACGUACUGUUGAGUGUAGAGAUGAAAUUCUUUUAUACCAGAUUAUUGGCACGGGUUUAGGCGAAAGCAUCACCUUAUGUAAUAACUGACGUUGAGGGACGAAGGCUUUGUGUCGCGAACAGGAUUAGAUACCCCAGUAGUCUAAGCAGAAAAUGAUGAGUGUCAUAGGUUAAAUAUUCUUAUUUGGUCUAUAAAUGAAAGUGUAAGCAUUCCACCUCAAGAGUAAUUUGGCAACAUUGGAAUUGAAAUCAUUAGACCGUUUCUGAAACCAGUAGUGAAGUAUGUUGUUUAAUUAGAUAAUCCACAAAGAACCUUACCACAAUUUGAAUAUUUUACAAGUGUUGCACGGCUGUCUUCAGUUAAUGUCGUGAGAUUAGAGAGAGAUCCAUUAAAUUAACGUAAACCCUUAUCUCACUCUAUAAAAGAGUAGAGAGUUGUUUCGCCUCUAGAUUGGUUAGAUAAAAAGGGACUAAGAC
rnacentral:rRNA from 1 species